rnacentral:rRNA from 1 species
GACGAACGCUGGCGGCGUGCUUAACACAUGCAAGUCGAACGAUGAACCCGGAGCUUGCUCCGGCGGAUUAGUGGCGAACGGGUGAGUAACACGUGAGUAACCUGCCCUUGACUCUGGGAUAACUGCGGGAAACUGUAGCUAAUACCGGAUACGACCCUCGGCGGCAUCGCCAGGGGGUGGAAAGAAUUUCGGUCAAGGAUGGACUCGCGACCUAUCAGCUAGUUGGUGAGGUAACGGAGAACCAAGGCGACGACGGGUAGCCGGCCUGAGAGGGUGACCGGCCACACUGGGACUGAGACACGGCCCAGACUCCUACGGGAGGCAGCAGUGGGGAAUAUUGCACAAUGGGCGCAAGCCUGAUGCAGCAACGCCGCGUGAGGGAUGACGGCCUUCGGGUUGCAAACCUCUUUUAGUAGGGAAGAAGCGAAAGUGACGGUACCUGCAGAAAAAGCACCGGCUAACUACGUGCCAGCAGCCGCCGUAA